GUUAGUGGCGCACGGGUGCGUAACGCGUGGGAAUCUGCCCCUUGCUUCGGAAUAACAGUUAGAAAUGACUGCUAAUACCGGAUGAUGACUUCGGUCCAAAGAUUUAUCGGCAAGGGAUGAGCCCGCGUAGGAUUAGGUAGUUGGUGGGGUAAAGGCCUACCAAGCCGACGAUCCUUAGCUGGUCUGAGAGGAUGAUCAGCCACACUGGGACUGAGACACGGCCCAGACUCCUACGGGAGGCAGCAGCGGGGAAUCUUCCACAAUGGACGAAAGUCUGAUGGAGCAACGCCGCGUGAGUGAAGAAGGAUUUCGGUUCGUAAAACUCUGUUGCAAGGGAAGAACAAGUAGCGUAGUAACUGGCGCUACCUUGACGGUACCUUGUUAGAAAGCCACGGCUAACUACGUGCCAGCAGCCGCGGUAAUACGUAGGUGGCAAGCGUUGUCCGGAAUUAUUGGGCGUAAAGCGCGCGCAGGUGG
rnacentral:rRNA from 1 species